GCCGAUGAUACUGUUGUGACACGGCGCAAACAACCAGGAACAAUCAUUACUUGCAGGCUGUGGUUCAUACAAAGCCAAAGACCCGUU